CAUUAUGUAAUCAAAAGAGAAAAUGUCUUGAAGUUAAAGGGAUUGGUGCAGCCCUUCUAUCCUCAAAGCGUCACAGUCUGCGAGUACCCGAUGCAGUUCCGGAGGGAUCCAUUUUCCACUGGCACACAACUAUAGCAUCAGAGUAAAUUAAGGAAUGCAUUAUAGCUGUUAAAGCAAUCUUAAGGGAAAUCUGAG